GUCGAGCGGAAACGAUGGUAGCUUGCUACCAGGCGUCGAGCGGCGGACGGGUGAGUAAUACUUAGGAAUCUACCUAGUAGUGGGGGAUAGCACGGGGAAACUCGUAUUAAUACCGCAUACGACCUACGGGAGAAAGGGGGCAGUUUACUGCUCUCGCUAUUAGAUGAGCCUAAGUCGGAUUAGCUAGAUGGUGGGGUAAAGGCCUACCAUGGCGACGAUCUGUAGCUGGUCUGAGAGGAUGAUCAGCCACACCGGGACUGAGACACGGCCCGGACUCCUACGGGAGGCAGCAGUGGGGAAUAUUGGACAAUGGGGGAAACCCUGAUCCAGCCAUGCCGCGUGUGUGAAGAAGGCCUUUUGGUUGUAAAGCACUUUAAGCAGUGAAGAAGACUCUUCGGUUAAUACCCGGAGACGAUGACAUUAGCUGCAGAAUAAGCACCGGCUAACUCUGUGCCAGCAGCCGCGGUAAUACAGAGGGUGCAAGCGUUAAUCGGAAUUACUGGGCGUAAAGCGAGCGUAGGUGGCUUGAUAAGUCAGAUGUGAAAUCCCCGGGCUUAACCUGGGAACUGCAUCUGAAACUGUUAGGCUAGAGUAGGUGAGAGGGAAGUAGAAUUUCAGGUGUAGCGGUGAAAUGCGUAGAGAUCUGAAGGAAUACCGAUGGCGAAGGCAGCUUCCUGGCAUCAUACUGACACUGAGGCUCGAAAGCGUGGGUAGCAAACAGGAUUAGAUACCCUGGUAGUCCACGCCGUAAACGAUGUCUACUAGUCGUUGGGUCCCUUGAGGACUUAGUGACGCAGCUAACGCAAUAAGUAGACCGCCUGGGGAGUACGGCCGCAAGGUUAAAACUCAAAUGAAUUGACGGGGGCCCGCACAAGCGGUGGAGCAUGUGGUUUAAUUCGAUGCAACGCGAAGAACCUUACCUGGUCUUGACAUAUCUAGAAUCCUGCAGAGAUGCGGGAGUGCCUUCGGGAAUUAGAAUACAGGUGCUGCAUGGCUGUCGUCAGCUCGUGUCGU
rnacentral:rRNA from 1 species